GCCUGUGUAGCUCAGCUGGCUAGAGCAGCUGAUUUGUAAUCAGCAGGUCGGGGGUUCGAGUCCCUCCACAGGCUCAA
rnacentral:tRNA from 1 species